UCGACCAACCGGCCGGCCCGUUGUAAAAGGUGGGCACUUAGUGACCUUGCUAGCUAGCUACAGGUGUAGUGAACAUGCACACUACGAUGUGUACGCUGGUCUAAAAACAGGAUGCCCUAACGCACAGCAUGAGACCUACCUUUAACCUCCCUGUUUCCCAAGCCACCUCUCCCAGGCACUUUUGGUUGGCCAGGACCGUAUAGCUAGAGGACAUGCAUGUAGGUCCGACUCCGUCGAAGACGCGUGGUUCGUUGCCGCUACCUGUUGUCGCGCGGCGGCCACUAGUAGCAACCCCGCCCCGGCAGCCCCGACCGACGCAGCCGCACGGACCGAGCCGCGCCCCACCUAUCGUAGCAGGACCUCGCCCUGCUGACGCAGCCGAGCGACACCGUCUUCGCGCGGAUGCUGGCGGAGGUGGACGUGGAGGGGUUCGUCCGCUCGCGCGAGGGGGUGGACGGCGUGCUGCUGCUGCGCGGCCGGAUGGAGGGGGCGCUGGUGAAGCAGGCGAUGGAGCUGCGGAUACGGCUGGCGAAGCGGCACGCGCGCGCGGAGGCGGAGGCGGCGCUCCAGGCGAGCCGCGCGAAGCACCUGCCGGCCACCCUCCACCUCCGGCAGUUGGAGCGGUGGCCGCUACGCCUCGUCAUGUGCCGCUCCAAGGACCACCACCGGUGCCCCCUCAAGCUGCUCUUCCACGACGGGCUCCACGGGCCCGACCUGUGCAAGGUACCGCUCCGGUAGGUGCGGCCGCUCAUGGCCAGGCCGCUCCCCUACGCCCCUUUCCUUCACGAGCAGCAGCCGACGCCGUUGAGACCUUACCUCUAGCGGGACCUGGACCAGGUCCGGCCGCGGCGCCGGAGGUAGCAGCAGGCGCCGCUCGAGGUGGAGUACUGCUCCCUCUAGUACUUGCGCAGGUGCCGCGACAAGCGGAUGGACGGGCAGACCUACUAGCUGGCCGACCGCAACAAGCGCACGGCGCAGCACAAGCCGCUAUGCCGGUCCGUGCCGGAGGCCGCCGGACUGCAACCCGGGAAGUGGUCUUUCUAGGUCUCGUUGCAGAUGGGUCAGUAGCUGCAGCCGUGGAUGCUGUUCUAGUUCUCGCCGGUCUAGUUCCACGACGGCCGCUAGUGCUCGUAGCUUCCCCUGCAGCACCUCAAGCGACCGCCACUCGCAGCGGCGAAGUUGCGGUAGCAGAAGCGGUGGCCCAUGGCGUCGUGCCGUUUUUUCACCGAGUUCUCGCUGCUGCCGCCCGACUAGCCACUGCUGCCCUACCGCAGGCCAUCUAGAGGGUUCCCCCUCUUGCCCGACAUGGCACGCCCCGACCGCCCCUCUCCCUAGAUGCCGUCGCCGUGUCUGCCCCUCAAGUAGCGCCUCCUGUAGUCGUCCGACGAGGCCGUCCCGAGACCGCUGCUGCUGCUACCCCAGAUCUCGAUCCAUCUUCUUCGGUAGUGUGCUGGCCCAGUCACGUACACGUCGACGGAGCGUAACCAGUACUCAGUCUCACUAAUGUGCAUGAUGCCUACUUACGUAUACUCUCUUGCUCACCAGUACAAAGCUAACAAACAACUAACAUUUCCCGUACACAACGCACACCGAUAGGCGAGGAGCAGCAAAGUAUGUACCUAAUAGUGUGUGUGAGAGAGAGAGAGAGACCACACACACAAACCUCAGUCCGACCUGCCUCGCUCGCCCGAAAAACCGGGCGAGCACCGGGCAACAUCUGCCUGGCAGGACCGGGCAACUUCUUUAACCGGCCAGGCCAGGGAUUUAAAGUC
rnacentral:rRNA from 1 species